rnacentral:lncRNA from 10 species
CAGGACUUGCAUAGGAAUUGCAACACCUGUGGCCUAGACUGCCCCUCAAGUUCACUUAGGGCCCCAGAGCACUCCAGCACACAGUGGCAGGGCUUUUAUCAAGUCAUGCUGGGAUAGAUAAUUCUGUCUGGUUAGGGCCAGUCCAAAUGCUCCCUCUGUGGGCAGAUGUCAGCUGAGUACAGCCCAGUUCUGCUUUCCACUGUGAUGGGGCAGCACUGAGUUCAGUGCAAAACCUCAUAAUCACCACACUCUCCCUCUUCAAAGCACACAGAUUCUCCACACCAUGCAGCCACUUCUGAGGAAUGGGGAACAGGUGGCAUCAGCACUUCAAGACUGUCUUUCUUGCUCUCUUCAAUAAUUCUUUCACUGAUAGAAGUUAAAACCAGGUGCCUUUGCUUCCCCCAUCAAGAGGUAGAGUCUAUUUCUCUACCCCCUUGAAUAGGGGUGCUUAAUGUCCUGCUUUGAACAAUAAAUUGCAGUAGAAGUGAUGGUGUUAGUUCCAAGUCUGGACCUCAAGUGGCCUGGCAGCUUCUGCUCUCGCUCUCUUGAGACCCUGAGAACACUGUGUGGAAAAGUCCAGUCCAGCUGGCUGGAGGAUGAGAAAGCUUGUGGGGAGUAAGGUCCGGAGAAGAGCUGUCACCCAUAGCCAGGCAUGUAAGUGAGUCAUGUUGGAUCACUCAGCCCCAGUGGAACUGCCUGAUGACAGCAGUCACGAGUGUCCUCAGGAAAACCAACAGAGGAACAGCCCAGCUGAUCCCAGCCCAAACUGCUGACCCACAGAAUUAUGAGGAAAAACUUGUUGUAUUAAACCAUCAAAUUGUGUAGGUGCUUUUAAUGCAUAAAAAGAGUUUCUGAACUCUUCAUCGAGGGCUGUAUGGAUUUCCUGAGAACAAACAAGUCCAUCUUGGUGAAAGAAUCCACCUUCACUGAUGUGAAACUAAAGGUUGAGCAAGUUUACUUCUGGAGAAGAACGCUGUUGACAGGCUUACACAUGAUGAUGGAGCAAUGGAAAUAUUAAUGCUGGGUGAUUAACACAGACUCUACAACCGGAGAUAAUACGUGAAACACAUAAUGGAAUGUCAAAACAAAUUAAUUUCCUGGUCCGGCUUGUAAAUACAGUACUUUGUGUAAGCAACAGCAAAAAACCAUGAAAAGUGAGAUCUUCGUGAUACUAAUUUCACUCACCCAUUCAACAGGUUGUUUUGUUUUUUUAGAAGAAGAUGGGGAUUUUCUGUUCAGCUCAAGCCCUCCAACCACGAGGCUGAAAGUGAGUACCUAUCUGCAGCCUGGAACUUGGGUAUUAGCAGCCAUGGUUCUGCACAGAGCCGUUCUCACCUCCUUGAACCAUGAGUCCUGCAGAGUGUCCUGAGAGGGGCUGGAUGUGUAAUUUCACCCUUCCCAGGCCCUAUGAGUUUUAAGCUUUCAAGAGGUUCUAUUUUGGUGCAUGUCGGGCUUCAAGAGACUCAACCUAACAUGGAAGGAUUUAUAUAAACUCAAGCCAUGUAAGACACGCCUGCUUCCUCUUCACCUUCCACCGUGAUUGUAAGUUUCCUGAGGUCUCCCCAGAAGCAGAAGCUGCUAUGCUUCCUGCAUAGCCUGCAGAACUAUGAACCAAUUAAACCUCUUUUCUUUAAAAUUA